rnacentral:ncRNA from 1 species
ACAAUGAAGAGUUUGAUCCUGGCUCAGGAUGAACGCUAGCGGCAGGCUUAACACAUGCAAGUCGAGGGGCA